GAUGAACGCUGGCGGCGUGCCUAAUACAUGCAAGUCGAGCGAACAGACGAGGAGCUUGCUCCUCUGACGUUAGCGGCGGACGGGUGAGUAACACGUGGAUAACCUACCUAUAAGACUGGGAUAACUUCGGGAAACCGGAGCUAAUACCGGAUAAUAUAUUGAACCGCAUGGUUCAAUAGUGAAAGACGGUUUUGCUGUCACUUAUAGAUGGAUCCGCGCCGCAUUAGCUAGUUGGUAAGGUAACGGCUUACCAAGGCAACGAUGUGUAGCCGACCUGAGAGGGUGAUCGGCCACACUGGAACUGAGACACGGUCCAGACUCCUACGGGAGGCAGCAGUAGGGAAUCUUCCGCAAUGGGCGAAAGCCUGACGGAGCAACGCCGCGUGAGUGAUGAAGGUCUUCGGAUCGUAAAACUCUGUUAUUAGGGAAGAACAAAUGUGUAAGUAACUAUGCACGUCUUGACGGUACCUAAUCAGAAAGCCACGGCUAACUACGUGC
rnacentral:rRNA from 1 species